UGUGCUCCGUACCCAUUGCACAGGCCAGUUCAAUUCCCUACCAUCUGCCACCCACACUCUUCUUUGGGACUCCAACUCUGGCCAAACAAAUGUGAAUAUGGAAAGCAGAGGCCCAGGGCCCUCUUGCAGUACAGACAUUUUGAGGGCACAGAAGAAGGAGAAAACCACAGGAGUCCCACGAAGGUGCAGAGGUCUACACAGGAGUUCAGGAUAGACAUCUUGCUGGCAGGACAUGGCCAUAGACUCCUCUAACUUAUUCCCCAAAGUGCAAGAGCAGGUCUUCUUCAGUCCAUCCUUCUAACCUGUCCAGAGCAGCUGUAUGCUUACUGCCAGAUCACUCUACCCUUCUGGGGCAACAGGACUCUAGCCCUGAGGACUCUGCAAAGCUAGGCCCCUGAUGGUCUACUAUGCUUAGAGACCAUUAUGCAUGGGGCUCUUUGGGCUUCUGAAGGGCUCCCUGGGAGAAACUGCCUUCUAAAUCUGACUACUAAGAUGAUACUAUGGGAACAGAUUGUGAGGACAGAAAGAAAAAAAUAAAUAAAAAUUAAAAACGUAGAAA
rnacentral:antisense_RNA from 1 species